ACUGGGUGACAGAGCAAGACUCUGUCUCCAAAAAAGAAGAAAAAAGAAGAAGAAAGAAAAAGAAAACAAACAUUUCUCCUGGUCUGCCUCUCCAUCCUCCAUCAUGGCUCUGAGGCUCCCAGGUCACUGGUGGGAGCUUUCCCAGUUGGGCCUGCCUGGGAAUCUACAGCCAUUGUCAUCUGCUACCAGCGAGUAGAUGAACACCUGCUGAGUAAGAAGCUCCUCCUGGGGCGUGGAGGUGGAGGCAGGGAAUCCCCUCCUUGCAAAGGAGCUCAGGCAUAAUGAAGAAGUGCUGAUGGACACACAGGAAUUCCCACUCUUCUUUGUUCAGCACUCCAAUGUGAAGAGGUUGAAAGGAGGAUGGUGUCACAGAUUGAAAUGGAAACUUGAGAGGGAAUUAGCUCUGGAGGAGCACAGAAGAGUACCGCAUUUCAGACCUCCCUCCCACCCCAAAGAGGAGAAACACCCUGUUGGACCUCACUGAUCCAUUGAAGGUUCCUGUCAUCCUCACUGGCUUUGUUUCGCAGCUGAGAGACUGAAUAUACAAAUGGGCAAUGGCCAGAUCAGAUAUAAAAAUAGAAUUCAGACCCACAGUCUACAGCACCCAGCCCAGGAAACCAGCUCAUGACCUACUGUUACCAGCCCAGGAAGCAGGUCUGCUGCAGACCAGACUCACAGAAGUCAGAUCACUGUCUGUAGUAACAACCCAUGAAGCCAGACAAUAACCUCUGCACGAUGCCCCCAAAUGGCCAGGAGUUAAUUAAUUAUGGACAGCUUCCUUGAUUUUCUUCCCUGAUUCCAAUAUAGGACCAACCAGAGAAAGUCAAAUAUGCACCUCUAAUUAUUCAUAUAGGAUGUCAUGCUUCUAGUUAGCCCACCUCCAUGUAGGUGCUCCCACCCGAUGCCAACAACCUCCCAUCAGGGUGAGCUUGAAGCCUUCCCUCUUUGCCAUUUUAAAGCUUUCCCACUUACCUGCCUGCCUUUGAUUCUCUGCCAAAAUGUAAAAGAUAGUGGCCGACUCCCUUGGUGUAUAUAUAGCAAGCUCUGAAUAAAUGGC
rnacentral:lncRNA from 1 species